rnacentral:rRNA from 1 species
AACGAACGCUGGCGGCAGGCUUAACACAUGCAAGUCGAGCGCCCCGCAAGGGGAGCGGCAGACGGGUGAGUAACACGUGGGAACCUUCCUAGAGGUACGGAACAACUCAGGGAAACUUGAGCUAAUACCGUAUACGCUCUUGCGAGGAAAGAUUUAUCGCCUUUAGACGGGCCCGCGUCGGAUUAGCUAGUUGGUGGGGUAACGGCCUACCAAGGCGACGAUCCGUAGCUGAUCUGAGAGGAUGAUCAGCCACACUGGGACUGAGACACGGCCCAGACUCCUACGGGAGGCAGCAGUGGGGAAUCUUGGACAAUGGGCGCAAGCCUGAUCCAGCCAUGCCGCGUGAGUGAAGAAGGCCUUCGGGUUGUAAAGCUCUUUUGCCAGGGACGAUAAUGACGGUACCACCAGAAGAAGCCCCGGCUAACUCCGUGCCAGCCGCCGCCGUAA